rnacentral:rRNA from 1 species
CGGCCGCGGUAUCCUGACCGUGCAAAGGUAGCAUAAUCACUUGUUCCCUAAUUAGGGACUAGAAUGAAUGGCAAAACGAGGAUUCAACUGUCUCUUAUUCUUAANUCAGUGAAAUUGACCUUUCAGUGAAGAGGCUGAAAUACUAAAAUAAGACGAGAAGACCCUAUGGAGCUUAAAUCAAAAGUUUAAUUUUAUUCCCACCAACCUAAUGGUUCAACACAAAAAAUAUAAACUCUAAAUUUCGGUUGGGGUGACCUCGGAGAACAAAAAAUCCUCCGAAUGAUUUUAACUUANACCAACAAGUCAAAGUAACCUAAAAAUCUCAUUGACCCAAAAAUUCUUUGAUCAACGGACCAAGUUACCCUAGGGAUAACAGCGCAAUCCUAUUUUAGAGUCCAUAUCGACAAUAGGGUUUACGACCUCGAUGUUGGAUCAGGACAUCCCAAUGGCGCA